GUGUCUGUGUGUCUGUGUAUGUAUCAGAAUGGAACCACAAAGCCUGGACCCUCUAAAUGCAAAGAAACCUUAGGUGGGGAUUAUGGAAAACCAUGCUGGUGCUUGGUCCCUUCCUCCUCAGUGGAGCUCAGUGUAGGCCAGGCAGUCUUAAAUACUUUUCCUCUAUCCUCUACCAAGUCCCACUCACCUGGAGGACAAAAACCUCCCAGGCAAAGCCCACAGGGAUCUUUUGCCUUUGUUCCUCCUCACCUAGGCACUCCUGGGCACAUGGCACAAGCCUGUAUGCUCCUUCCCAUCCUAGACCAUGAAGUCACAGUUGGGGUCUCUCCUUGUUGGAAUUCUCUCUGUGGCUCUGCGGCCCUGAAGAGAGUGACGAGGUGUGCAGACUUGAGGUGAGUGACACUUAUAGUGCCUUCUGAGUUGGAGGAAGAUGAUUAUUCAAAACAGCAUAGGACUAUCCACGCUGAUCAUGAAUACAUUGAGCUAUGAGUGGUCCAGGUUGCCAUAGUAACUCCCACAGGUGGGCUGGCUUUGACCAACUGAAAUUUACUGGUUGACAAUGGAGAGAUUACUUGCUUAUCCUAAACACUUUCAUUUUCUUCUGGCGUUUGUACACAGUCCUCCUUCUGGGUAUCUAUAACCUAAUUCUCCCUUCUCAUGAUGACGACAGGCUGAUUGAAUGGGAGGCCACCCUACCUCUCGCCACCUCAGUCACCUCUGAAUACCAUCUCAUCCAAAAAAGCACUGCACAUUAGGCCGUCAAUAUACAAAUUUGGACGGAGACAUAAUUUUAGUCCCUAAUAGUCACACGGUCAGUGUUCUGGAGGAAGCUUUUGAAGGGAGCAACUGGUAAGCUGUCUCCCUGGUUCAUGGGGGCCCCCAAGUACCUUGCAGUGUGUAUGCGGAUUGGCUACUCUGCCUUGUGGCUGUGACCCCAGCCUUCAGGUAAGAAUCCUCCAUAUAGGAUUCCCAUCCCCACCACGGCAGCUGAUGCCACUUAUGCUUCGGUUCUGGGGAGUGGGGGAGACCCCACUCCUUCCAGGCCUGCCCCGGGCACUUGUGAUCUCAUAAGACAGAAGAGGCCACAGGCAGGCCUCAAUGGAGAUGGGCUUAAGGCACCAGCAACCAGAGGCUGCCAGAGGCCUCCUGCAGCCAUUUCACGACUGCCUUCAUCCUUGUCACUAAUGAGCCUUCGAUUCCAGGAAACUCUGAAAGGAAGAAGGGACACCUGCAUCCUGUUGGGAGAGAGCCCUGACGUAGUGAAAAAGCACAAUGAGACAGAGCUAGGAGUGGCACAGGCCAGAUGAGGGUCACGAGGGCUCAGGAGAAGAUGGUGACCCAGCUGAGUCUGGAAUGGGGAGGAUACUACAGCUGAAUGCAAGCCGGAGGCCCAGAAACAGGACACACACGGUACAGGGGCCAAUUUCCAUGUAACCAGGUGAGCCACAGCCUGAGCAGAAGACCAAGUCCUCUUAAGCGGAGGCCGGGGCUUUGAACACACCUGAGAGGGUGCUCAAAGCCUGUCUGCCACCAGGCAUCUCUACAGACAGACCCCGAGUGGGAGAGGCCAGUCUGUUCUCUCUCGGCCCCUACACCUCUGCUGUGUCUGAACUAAACCCUGCCCUGCAGCUUGGCAGCCCCAAACACUCUGCCCACUGUCAGCAUUACUGCUUUCCAGGAAUCUCCUGUUUUUCAAACUAUUUUUGCCAAGAUGUGUUUUUUUUGCAAACUCCUGGGCCCACCUCCCUUCCCCUCAGUUGAACUGAUGAAACCAUUCAUCUUCCAGCCCCAAGCAGACUCCCUGACACCCCACCCUCACUCCAACUCACUCCAGGUUCUGGCCAAGAACCAGAAGUCCUAGAUGUGGAAGGCAGGCCUGUUUGUCUCCACCAGAGCUGGCGGCACCGAGGGGCUGUGGUCUGCUCGCCCCCUGGCAGUGCACACACUGGCAGACACUCCCCAGGGUACACACUUGUACUGCAAGCUACGUGUUCUGGCAAGAAACAGCAAAGACUCAUUUCCGUCUAUAUUUUGACAGAGAUUAAGGGCAAAGGCCUUUUCUAAAUCAUUCUCCAAAGAGCCAUACUUCAGACUCGUUCUGCAGCUCAGUGUCUCCCGCCCCACAGAAGCCCAUCAAUACUCAUCAAUACGGUAGAUAUUUGUUCAAAUUCCAUAGUGAGUGCAGGUUGGCGAUGGAGGAAGGGCUUCAGGCUUGAUCAUGCCUGGUGCCUGGCUAUUGUUUUAACUCAACUGUGCAAGAAAACCAUGGUGUUUACCAGCCCACAGCCAUCCUUCAGCAGACCCCACAGACACCUAAGGAUGGAAGAUAUAUUGAGUUAUGGAGUAUGAAAUAUUAUCAGAGUUUGGUGUCUAUUAAUGUCUUAAGGAGAAUUCCAUCCUAUGGGAAAAUCUAAAAAUCCCAUAGCAAGUACAUAGAUCCCACUCACUUUCCUUCUCCCUGUCCCCAGAUACCUCCUGGUUUAGUUACCCAAGAGCAGCCACGGUUGUCUCUGCUGCCUCGAGCUAUCACAAAGGUACCACUCCGGGACACGGGUUGAAGACACACAGCCUUUUAACAUGACAUUUAACUGAGAGUUGGUGCCAAAGAGUCCUUGUGAGGAAGAGUCUCACUGUAUUCGGGGCAGCUAGAGUCAACCCACGCGCCUCCCUCUGGGGCUCAAAGGACUUGGGUUGUGGGACCUGCAGGCACCACCGUCAUCACCGACAGUCUCUUAUCUUAAAAUCCGAGCCCAUCACAAAUGGUGGGAACUCGGAGUGGAGGAAGGAGUGCGAGCUGCCAGAGUGGAGAGCAAUGAAGAUCUCCCCCAGGGACAGGAGCGCCCUUGGCCUGUGCCAUUGGCAAGGAGAAUGUGCCUGGUAAGAGGCAAAGAGAGUGGCGCGGUGGGGCUUUGCCGUCCUACUCCCCCGCUGCCCUCUCUCUCUCUUCGUUUCUCAACACAGUGACUUAAAGAUCCACAGUGUGCGCGCAGUCUGCGGUCCUGGCAACGUGGUAGGCCCUGGGAGCGUGAUGAGGAAGAGGACACACACAACCACCUUGCUCACGUAGUUUCUGUGUUAGAUACCUUCAGCUUUUCUAAAGCACAGCCUCCCAGAGGACAGCUUGGAUUCUAACAGUCUCUUAAGGACGGCUCAGUCUCCAUUCCAAUAUGACAGACAAGUGUGUGAAGGGAAGGUGGAUGAUGGCUGCCAUGAAUUAGAAGAAGACAUCUUUGACCUCACCACUCAAGAACUCCCCAGCCAUAUUCUUUAAGUUGAUUUCUCCUUGCCUCAUCACCAAGGUUCAUAGCAUUGAGCUGGAACUAAUGAUGGAUAAAGAGGAGGCUACUUCUGUGUGGCCAGGGUAGUGCUGGGGUAGCCUGUGAGAGGUCUGUUCAAGAGACUUACAUUUUCUCAAAUUCUUUCAAAUUACCAAUAACCACCCUGUGCCCCAACCAUCAACUCUGGGUGGUUAUUAGCAUUGGUUCUGGUCUCUAACCUCUCCCUUUACUGUUAACCCAGUGCUAAGCCCUCCACACCAUUGAGGAAAUGACCCAGAGGCAAGAGUAGGACCUAGUCCAGACUACAGCUCCACAGGGAACUGUGUCAAGCCAAAGCUCCUGGGACAACUGGGAAACCUUUGCCUGUCGGUCCCUUAAUGCCCAGCUAAGUGGUCAGAUGACAGACAGGUAAGCAGGGGUCACCACCAGUGCGGUAUUAGGUGUCUUCCUCUGUAUGGGGUCUGAGUGAGAGAUUGGUAUAGACAUUCUUCUUUAAUGUCCCCAGGCAAGGAUUCCACUAACAGUGAUGCUGCGGGCUUCUGUCGAAAUCAAACUGUUGUUCACUGUUUGAAGUUCCUCUACAUUGUAUGAAGCAAUAGUUUUUCAAGUUGCAUCUUGUCCUGAAGGACUCCAUUUUACAAAUGAAGGACCACAGGGACUCUGAACUUCACUGUCUAGCACCAACCACAAGGCACAGACUGAUUAAUGACAUAUUCUCAAAAGUGAACACAUUAUCACUCUACAAAUGUAUCAGAGCAUCUUGAGACCAUAUGAGCCCAUGGACAUACAAAAAUCACAGUAAGAAUACCAGGCCUGAGAGCUAAUCGAACACACCAGAAGAAGAACAACAGUUCCCACCAACCCCUGUUAGGCUUCACACUACUGCUGCUAAGUUCAUCUUGAACUGCCUCCCAUCUGUCCACCUGAUGGUUCAUCUAGACCCAGUCCAUCCCUUUGUCUCUACGGCCUCCACAAUCACACUCUUCACAUGGGCAGCUCAGGCUGACCUCAGACGCAACUUAGCUCUGACACACCCUGUAGAUCUGUAAGAGGUUAAUUACAUGAUUCCAACAGAGGCUUGCUUUGCUUCUGUGCUUCCCCCCACCCCCCUACCCUCGCUUUGGCCUUUCAGUAAAGUCACCUCCUUGAGCUAUAUUUCUUUAACUAUUUUCAACUAUUUUGUGACCUACAGAAGGAGAGAGAGAGAGAGAGAGAGAGAGAGAGAGAGAAAGAGACAGAGAC
rnacentral:sRNA from 1 species